rnacentral:rRNA from 1 species
GAUGAACGCUGGCGGCGUGCCUAAUACAUGCAAGUCGAGCGAACAGACGAGGAGCUUGCUCCUCUGACGUUAGCGGCGGACGGGUGAGUAACACGUGGAUAACCUACCUAUAAGACUGGGAUAACUUCGGGAAACCGGAGCUAAUACCGGAUAAGAUAUUGAACCGCAUGGUUCAAUAGUGAAAGACGGGUUUGCUGUCACUUAUAGAUGGAUCCGCGCCGCAUUAGCUAGUUGGUAAGGUAACGGCUUACCAAGGCAACGAUGCGUAGCCGAACUGAGAGGGUGAUCGGCCACCCUGGAACUGAGCCACGGUCCAGACGCCUACGGGAGGCAGCAGUAGGGAAUCUUCCGCAAUGGGCGAAAGCCUGACGGAGCAACGCCGCGUGAGUGAUGAAGGUCUUCGGUUCGUAAAGCUCUGUUAUUAGGGAAGAACAAAUGUGUAAGUAACUAUGCACGUCUUGACGGUACCUAAUCAGAAAGCCACGGCUAACUACGUG